rnacentral:tRNA from 1 species
GCCGGUUUAGCUCAGUCGGUAGAGCACCCGCCUUGUAAGCGGAAGGUCUUCGGUUCGAUUCCGAAAGCCGGCACCA